rnacentral:rRNA from 1 species
GACGAACGCUGGCGGCGUGCUUAACACAUGCAAGUCGAACGGAAAGGCCCUGCUUGCAGGGUACUCGAGUGGCGAACGGGUGAGUAACACGUGGGUGAUCUGCCCUGCACCUCGGGAUAAGCCUGGGAAACUGGGUCUAAUACCGGAUAGGAGCCAUUUUUAGUGUGAUGGUUGGAAAGUUUUUUCGGUGUAGGAUGAGCUCGCGGCCUAUCAGCUUGUUGGUGGGGUAAUGGCCUACCAAGGCGGCGACGGGUAGCCGGCCUGAGAGGGUGGACGGCCACAUUGGGACUGAGAUACGGCCCAGACUCCUACGGGAGGAAGCAGUGGGGAAUAUUGCACAAUGGGCGCAAGCCUGAUGCAGCGACGCCGCGUGGGGGAUGACGGCCUUCGGGUUGUAAACUCCUUUCGCUAGGGACGAAGCUUUUUGUGACGGUACCUAGAUAAGAAGCACCGGCUAACUACGUG